rnacentral:rRNA from 1 species
GACGAACGCUGGCGGCGUGCCUAACACAUGCAAGUCGUACGAGGACAGUCCUUCGGGACUGAGCCGAGUGGCGGACGGGUGAGUAACACGUGACCAAUCUGCCUUCGAGAGGGGGGAUAACCUGGGGGAAAACCCCGGGGCCUAAUACCGCAUGAAGUGCCGUGCUCGCAUGGGCGUGACACCAAAGGGAGGCCUCUACUUGUAAGCUUUCGCUCGAAGAGGAGGUCGCGACGUAUCAGCUAGUUGGUAGGGUAACGGCCUACCAAGGCUACGACGCGUAGCGGGUCUGAGAGGACGACCCGUCACAUUGGGACUGAGAUACGGCCCAGACUCCUACGGGAGGCAGCAGUGGGGAAUAUUGCGCAAUGGUCGAAAGACUGACGCAGCGACGCUGCGUGUGGG